rnacentral:rRNA from 1 species
GAUGAACGCUGGCGGCGUGCUUAACACAUGCAAGUCGAACGAUUAAGACGGCUUCGGCCGUGUAUAGAGUGGCGAACGGGUGAGUAACACGUGACCAACCUGCCCCGCGCUCCGGGACAACCGCUGGAAACGGCGGCUAAUACCGGAUGCUCCGGGGAGGCCCCAUGGCCUCCCCGGGAAAGCCCUGACGGCGCGGGAUGGGGUCGCGGCCCAUUAGGUAGACGGCGGGGUAACGGCCCACCGUGCCCGCGAUGGGUAGCCGGACUGAGAGGUCGACCGGCCACAUUGGGACUGAGAUACGGCCCAGACUCCUACGGGAGGCAGCAGUGGGGAAUUUUGCGCAAUGGGGGGAACCCUGACGCAGCAACGCCGCGUGCGGGACGAAGGCCUUCGGGUUGUAAACCGCUUUCAGCAGGGAAGACAUAGAC